UUGCGGCUGGUAUCUAUUCCAGGGCCACGCCUGUCUGAGGGUCGGUCAUAACAGAACUUCGGUUCAACUAUUAUCGCGCUUGAUCUCGGCCUUAGACCGUAGGAGACCUUAACAGUGAUCGUUCUGCAACUGCAGACGAUUGCGUCCUACGCAGGUCGAGCGUCAUGUCGCCAGUUGAGGGUUUUGUCUAAUCGCUUGACGAUUGUCAAUCCCUUUAAAUACGUAACACAGAAACGGGCUAAGUCUCGGCUUGUACUCGGUGCAGCAACUCGACCCAAGUGGUGGAGAGGCGAUUCAGCGCAUACACCUUGUCUUUGCUCGUACAGUGAGAUUUACUGAACAUGUAUCAGUGCUUGCGUACGUACGGCUUGACAGGGCGCGCUGGUAUCACCCGCAAUAGCCCCUGAGUCGUCUUGACGGCUAAGCUCGUUUCAACUGUGUAUAAGCGGCGCUAGAGCCCUGUGCUCUUUCGUCCAACCAAAUUACCGCUGCGACCUCAGAUCAGGUGGGCUUACCCGCUGAAUUUAAGCAUAUUAAUAACAGGAGAGAAAAAACCCAAAA
rnacentral:rRNA from 1 species